GGCGGGAUAGCUCAGUUGGCUAGAGCACACGGUUCAUACCCGUGGUGUCGUAGGUUCAAAUCCUAUUCCCGCUACCA
rnacentral:tRNA from 1 species